CCGGCAGCUUCCGCUGGGGGCUCUUGCCACGGAGCUGCUGUGGCCUGGGCACCGCGGGCAAGGGGCAGGAGCGGCCACAGCCCAGCCCCAGGGCCUGAGUGUCCUUAAAUAGAGCGCCCUGCGGUUUGGUCGCGUUUUACCUAUCACAAGAAUGCACACAGCUAUUUUUAGGCUAGCCCUCGGGAAUGGGGAGCUGAGGUCCACAGGCAUUUCAGAAGGUCCUAACUUGGCCCUUCCGUCUGUUUAUAGAUUUACGUUUUGCACAUGUGCACUGGGACGUUUCGGUAAGGCCUGAGGAGUCCAUGAUUGAGGCCACAAGUCGGCUUCGUCUCCGCGGCUCACGGCCUCAGCGAAGGUUUUGGACGUCACGGCUGCAGCACCUCGUCCUCUCCAGCAGGACCUGUGUGGUCGCGUGAGCUCCACAGGCUCCCCAGGCUGCCGCUGACUGUGACGACCUCACCAGUCAGGACUCAGGAAGGGAUGGAAGCCUGCGGGGUCCUGACACCCGACAUCCGUGAGCCGUGGGAACCCCUGUGAUUUUUUUUUUUUUUUAUGUCAGUUGAAGAUUUCAACGGCAAGCGGUGCAGGAUGAGGAGUGGCUUACACCCAGUGGCCUGCGGUAAUGAAAUGCAGAAACAGCUUCCUGGUGGCAUCGUUCUGUCUCCCACAAGAGUAACUCAUGUCAUACCCAUGAUCUGGAUUGGCAUGGCAACGCGAAAUGUGGCCACAGGCCCAUGUCCGUCGGGUCUGAUCUGAGUUGCAGAAGCAGCCCUGGGACCUGCCUGACGUGGGUGGCUGUGGUUUAUGGAACCACUUGGACCGCUCGGGCUGCUCCUCACAGGAACGUCGGCUCUCCACUCUUCCAGCGUGGGUCUUGCAAAACAGCAUAUUGUGGCCAUCUGUUCUGGGGGCAUGGAGAAGAGAACGGACGUCAUUUGAUGUAAGGGUAUGAGGAAAGAGCAGAGCGUAGGGCCAGCCCUGAAUAGAAGUGGGCAGGAGUCAUCUCUGGUGUGUCUGCCCUCCCUCGUCUUGCUUCGGUGGUAUCCCUCCUUUGCCAGCCACCUGCUGCCUUCAGAGGUUCUCUGUGCCCCAGCCCACCCACAGAAGACAUAAAACCCUCUCCCCUCACAGCCAGCAAGCCUCGCCAUGGUGAGUUUUGAUGGCAGAGACCUGAGUUCAAACAUGAGCUCCCCUACGCGCUCACUGUCUGGACGUGUGCACGUUACCUAACCUGCCCCACAUGAAAUACAGGGCACCGUGUUCCUUGUGGCCGCUGGUGUGCUUUCAGCAGCAAGUAAGUGAAAAGCCAAGUAAAUGCGUUCAACCAACAAGGAAAAAAUAAUCAGUUCUAUCAUUUAGUUGAAAGAGAAACAGAGAGAUCUUCCUCCCAGAUGGCUCCCACAGCUAGGGCUGGGCCAGGCUGAAGCCAGAAGCCUGGAACUCCAUCCGGUCCCCCACGUGCAUGGCAAGGACCAGGUACUUGAGGCUUUAUCUGCUGCCUCCCAGGGUUUGCAUUAGCAGGGGGCUGGAAUCAGAAGUGGAGGAGCCGGGACUCAGGCCAGGCAGCAACAGAACCACUGUGCCAACUGCCCACCCCACAGGGAGGAGAGAUUUCACCCCCAUUGUCAGAAAUGCAGAGGUGGGGCCGGCACCGUAGCUCACUAGGCUAAUCCUCCACCUGCGGCGCCGGCACACCGGGUUCUAGUCCCAGUCGGGGCGCCGGAUUCUGUCCCGGUUACCCCUCUUCCAGGCCAGCUCUCUGCUGUGGCCAGGGAGGGCAGUGGAGGAUGGCCCAAGUGCUUGGGCCCUGCACCCCAUGGGAGACCAGGAGAAGCACCUGGCUCCUGCCAUCGGAUCAGCGUGGUGCACCAGCCGCAGCGCGCCAGCCGCGGCGGCCAUUGGAGGGUGAACCGAUGGCAAAAGGAAGACCUUUCUCUCUGUCUCUCUCACACUGUCCACUCUGCCUGUCAAAAAAAAAAAAAAUGUAGAGGUGGGCAGACUGAGUGAAUCUCCGCUUUCUGCUCUGUGUCAGCCGCAUCUUUUUUUUU